GUCGACGGUAACAGGUCCUUCGGGAUGCUGACGAGUGGCGGACGGGUGAGGAAUGCAUCGGAAUCUGCCUGUUUGUGGGGGAUAACGCAUGGAAACGUGCGCUAAUACCGCAUACGUCCUUUUGUCGGGAGAUGAUUGGAGAAAGUGGGGGACCUUCGGGCCUCACGCGAACAGAUGAGCCGAUGUCGGAUUAGCUGGUUGGUGGGGUAAAGGCCUACCAAGGCGACGAUCCGUAGCUGGUCUGAGAGGAUGAUCAGCCACACUGGAACUGAGACACGGUCCAGACUCCUACGGGAGGCAGCAGUGGGGAAUAUUGGACAAUGGGGGCAACCCUGAUCCAGCCAUGCCGCGUGUGUGAAGAAGGCCCUUGGGUUGUAAAGCACUUUUGUUGGGGAAGAAAAGUUUUCGGUGAAUAACUGGAGACGCUGACGGUACCCAAAGAAUAAGCACCGGCUAACUUCGUGCCAGCAGCCGCGGUAAUACGAAGGGUGCAAGCGUUACUCGGAAUCACUGGGCGUAAAGGGUGCGCAGGCGGCCUGCCAAGUCUGAUGUGAAAGCCCUGGGCUCAACCUGGGAACGGCAUUG
rnacentral:rRNA from 1 species